rnacentral:misc_RNA from 1 species
GAAUCUCCUUACUAUCGACCACUCCAAGCUUGCAUAGCCGGAACACAGAGUCAUCGAUGGAUUCCUAUAGAGGAGAGGAAAACCUGGCCUUCUAGGUCUCACUUAAGCAAGGGCGAGUUUGCAAUAUAUGGUCUGCAUUCAGAAGAAUUAGCGGAGGACUCUGAAAGCUGGAGAACUGCAGUCCAUAACUAUUGGUCACUUCUGUC